GGUGGUUCAAUUUGUUGAUGCUCUUCCUCUUCUUUGGUUUUGGGAUCAGAUUCUUCAACUCGGUUAUGGUGUAAGUCAGAUGUGUAAGGACUGGAAAACGGGGUGUGGGUCUCAACACUCUCAUCAGUCGCAAUAUUCCGACCUAUCAUGAAAUGAGACGGAACAUUCAAGUUAGAAGGUCAUGUGUUCCAGCAUUGGUUGUCUUGUCGAGUGCAGUUCUUGAGUAUUGAUCUUCUACUCCAUGUUGAGUAUGCUAGACAAAUAAAUCCAUAGCACUUGUAUUAUAUAGGAACAU